UUCACAUGUAUGCAGUCCCUGAACAAGAAGUAUGGAUGAAGUGUUCCUUUGCUUCUAAUGAACUCUCUCAACACUCAUGAUGACACACAGAAGAUUGUUGAGAAGUACUCCAACUCCAACAUUGAAAUUCACACUUUCAACCAGAGCCAAUACCCUCGCAUUGUCUCCGUUUGUGUGAACGCUGAGCGCUGGAUCGUGUGUGUGCUGCAGAUCUCGACGCCAUGAAG